UGUAGAAGAAUCGAUUAGAAACCUUGCGGUGUUCUCGUCUCAGUGUCGCUGCCACAAAAAGUCUGUUGCAUUGUGAUGUGACUACUUAAAUUUUGUUCAAGAGCACGACCAAUAAAAUUGUACACUUUCUGCAACUGGAAUUUUUAAGGAUAUAUAUUCAAUGGAUUUGGGAGAUAAAAGUUGGAUGAAUCUCCGAAGAAACGGGCUUCCCAAGGAAAUGAAAUAUUGUGUCCUUGCUAGGAACUUUAUUGGAUAUACUUGGAAAGUCCAAAGAUCAUCUAAAUUCUCGCUAUGACUUGUACGAAAUGGGGAUACGUAAAGAGCUUCAACCUCUAAAAGAUUGUAAUACAGGAAAUAUCCAUCUAGGUAAAGUUUGUUUCUCUAUGACCCCAGAUGAGAAAAAGUUAUUUUGCACUGUUCUAAAAGAUGCCAAAUUACCAAAAGGGUGUGCUUCUAAUAUAUCAAGUCGUGUACAAAUUAAAGAGAUGGAAGUCUCUGGAUACAAAAGUCAUGAUGCUCAUUUCAUAAUGCAUUAUUUGAUCCAAGUUGCAGUCA